UGGGGAAUAUUGCACAAUGGGCGAAAGCCUGAUGCAGCAACGCCGCGUGAGUGAUGAAGGCUUUCGGGUCGUAAAACUCUGUCCUCAAGGAAGAUAAUGACGGUACUUGAGGAGGAAGCCCCGGCUAACUACGUGCCAGCAGCCGCGGUAAUACGUAGGGGGCUAGCGUUAUCCGGAUUUACUGGGCGUAAAGGGUGCGUAGGUGGUUUUUUAAGUCAGGAGUGAAAGGCUACGGCUCAACCGUAGUAAGCUCUUGAAACUGGAAAACUUGAGUGCAGGAGAGGAAAGUGGAAUUCCUAGUGUAGCGGUGAAAUGCGUAGAUAUUAGGAGGAACACCAGUAGCGAAGGCGGCUUUCUGGACUGUAACUGACACUGAGGCACGAAAGCGUGGGGAGCAAAC
rnacentral:rRNA from 1 species